rnacentral:rRNA from 1 species
GUGGGGAAUAUUGGACAAUGGGGGGAACCCUGAUCCAGCCAUGCCGCGUGUGUGAAGAAGGCCUUUUGGUUGUAAAGCACUUUAAGCGAGGAGGAGGCUACCGAGAUUAAUACUCUUGGAUAGUGGACGUUACUCGCAGAAUAAGCACCGGCUAACUCUGUGCCAGCAGCCGCGGUAAUACAGAGGGUGCAAGCGUUAAUCGGAUUUACUGGGCGUAAAGCGCGCGUAGGUGGCCAAUUAAGUCAAAUGUGAAAUCCCCGAGCUUAACUUGGGAAUUGCAUGCGAUACUGGUUGGCUAGAGUAUGGGAGAGGAUGGUAGAAUGCCAGGUGUAGCGGUGAAAUGCGUAGAGAUCUGGAGGAAUACCGAUGGCGAAGGCAGCCAUCUGGCCUAAUACUGACACUGAGGUGCGAAAGCAUGGGGAGCAAACAGGAUUAGAAACCCGUGUAGUCC